rnacentral:rRNA from 1 species
CUACGGGGUGCUCCAGUGGGGAAUAUUGCGCAAUGGACGAAAGUCUGACGCAGCGACGCCGCGUGUGGGAGGAAGCUCUUCGGGGUGUAAACCACUGUCAGGAGGGAAGAACGGCGCCGGCCCGAACAGGCUCGGCGAUUGACGGUACCUCCAAAGGAAGCGCCGGCUAACUCCGUGCCAGCAGCCGCGGUAAGACGGAGGCGCAAGCGUUGUUCGGAAUUACUGGGCGUAAAGCGCGGGCAGGCGGUCUGUUAAGUCGUUUGUGAAAACCCGGGGCUCAACCCCGGGAAUGCAUACGAUACUGGCAGGCUGGAGACUGGUAGAGGCUAGCGGAAUUCCUGGUGUAGCGGUGGAAUGCGUAGAUAUCAGGAAGAACACCUGUGGCGAAGGCGGCUAGCUGGGCCAGUUCUGACGCUCAUCCGCGAAAGCGUGGGGAGCAAACAGGAUUAGAUACCCGCGUAGUC